CAGCCGCCGCGGUAAUACGGAGGGUGCAAGCGUUAUCCGGAUUUAUUGGGUUUAAAGGGUCCGUAGGCGGAUCUGUAAGUCAGUGGUGAAAUCUCACAGCUUAACUGUGAAACUGCCAUUGAUACUGCAGGUCUUGAGUAAAUUUGAAGUGGCUGGAAUAAGUAGUGUAGCGGUGAAAUGCAUAGAUAUUACUUAGAACACCAAUUGCGAAGGCAGGUCACUAAGAUUUAACUGACGCUGAUGGACGAAAGCGUGGGGAGCGAACAGGAUUAGAUACCCCCGUAGUCCCUGUCUCUUAUAC
rnacentral:rRNA from 1 species